GUUGUUGGGUAGGGGAGCGUUCUGUAAGCCGUUGAAGGUGGCCUGUGAGGGUUGCUGGAGGUAUCAGAAGUGCGAAUGCUGACAUAAGUAACGAUAAUGCGGGUGAAAAACCCGCACGCCGGAAGACCAAGGGUUCCUGUCCAACGUUAAUCGGGGCAGGGUGAGUCGACCCCUAAGGCGAGGCCGAAAGGCGUAGUCGAUGGGAAACAGGUUAAUAUUCCUGUACUUGGUGUUACUGCGAAGGGGGGACGGAGAAGGCUAUGUUGGCCGGGCGACGGUUGUCCCGGUUUAAGC
rnacentral:rRNA from 1 species